rnacentral:lncRNA from 1 species
AUUAAAAGAUAUAUUUAUUUCAUAAUUCAUGAUAUUUUCUGCCUCUGUUUCAAUCCAUAGCUUAAUCCAUAGCUAAUACAAAAAGGAAACAUGCCUUCAGUCAUUGUUAGUUUAGCGAUGACUUAGAUGUGAAUAAACACAAAUUAUAUUGGACAAGAUUCCAAUCUGAAGAUGAAUAAGGCUUAGUUCCACACCGCUGAGAGCUAAAAGGACAGAAAAGUUUGUUGCAGUCUACAUGCCAGUCUUAGAGGAAUGAAUACUGUUAAGCCAAUUGAAAAGGACUGUUCUCCUUGAGGGCGAGUGAAUGGUCACCGAGCUUAUGCAGAGAAGUUUUUCUAUAAUCCAUGUCUGUUCCCUUGUGUGGACCAAUUAUCAGCAAGACAUAGGGCCUGAAAUCAUAUCACAGAGAAGGCUAUGUAAAGAGAACAAAUUUACUGCCAUAGAAAACAUUUUACUUUGACUAAAAUACUAUGGAAAUAAAGCAUGGUGAACAUAUUUGUAUUUCCA